rnacentral:rRNA from 1 species
CAGGCUUAACACAUGCAAGUCGAGGGGCAGCAUUUUAGUUUGCUUGCAAACUGAAGAUGGCGACCGGCGCACGGGUGAGUAACACGUAUCCAACCUACCGAUAACUCCGGAAUAGCCUUUCGAAAGAAAGAUUAAUACCGGAUAGCAUACGAAUAUCGCAUGAUAUUUUUAUUAAAGAAUUUCGGUUAUCGAUGGGGAUGCGUUCCAUUAGUUUGUUGGCGGGGUAACGGCCCACCAAGACUACGAUGGAUAGGGGUUCUGAGAGGAAGGUCCCCCACAUUGGAACUGAGACACGGUCCAAACUCCUACGGGAGGCAGCAGUGAGGAAUAUUGGUCAAUGGGCGAGAGCCUGAACCAGCCAAGUAGCGUGAAGGAUGAAGGCUCUAUGGGUCGUAAACUUCUUUUAUAUGGGAAUAAAGUUUUCCACGUGUGGAAUUUUGUAUGUACCAUAUGAAUAAGGAUCGGCUAACUCCGUGCCAGCAGCCGCGGUAAUACGGAGGAUCCGAGCGUUAUCCGGAUUUAUUGGGUUUAAAGGGAGCGUAGGUGGAUUGUUAAGUCAGUUGUGAAAGUUUGCGGCUCAACCGUAAAAUUGCAGUUGAAACUGGCAGUCUUGAGUACAGUAGAGGUGGGCGGAAUUCGUGGUGUAGCGGUGAAAUGCUUAGAUAUCACGAAGAACUCCGAUUGCGAAGGCAGCUCACUAGACUGUCACUGACACUGAUGCUCGAAAGUGUGGGUAUCAAACAGGAUUAGAUACCCUGGUAGUCCACACAGUAAACGAUGAAUACUCGCUGUUUGCGAUAUACAGUAAGCGGCCAAGCGAAAGCAUUAAGUAUUCCACCUGGGGAGUACGCCGGCAACGGUGAAACUCAAAGGAAUUGACGGGGGCCCGCACAAGCGGAGGAACAUGUGGUUUAAUUCGAUGAUACGCGAGGAACCUUACCCGGGCUUAAAUUGCAACAGAAUAUAUUGGAAACAGUAUAGCCGUAAGGCUGUUGUGAAGGUGCUGCAUGGUUGUCGUCAGCUCGUGCCGUGAGGUGUCGGCUUAAGUGCCAUAACGAGCGCAACCCUUAUCUUUAGUUACUAACAGGUUAUGCUGAGGACUCUAGAGAGACUGCCGUCGUAAGAUGUGAGGAAGGUGGGGAUGACGUCAAAUCAGCACGGCCCUUACGUCCGGGGCUACACACGUGUUACAAUGGGGGGUACAGAAGGCGGCUACCUGGUGACAGGAUGCUAAUCCCAAAAACCUCUCUCAGUUCGGAUCGAAGUCUGCAACCCGACUUCGUGAAGCUGGAUUCGCUAGUAAUCGCGCAUCAGCCAUGGCGCGGUGAAUACGUUCCCGGGCCUUGUACACACCGCCCGUCAAGCCAUGAAAGCCGGGGGUACCUGAAGUACGUAACCGCAAGGAGCGUCCUAGGGUAAAACUGGUAAUUGGGGCUAAGUC